AUUGAACGCUGGCGGCAGGCUUAACACAUGCAAGUCGAACGAUGACUCUCUAGCUUGCUAGAGAAGAUUAGUGGCGGACGGGUGAGUAACAUUUAGGAAUCUGCCUAGUAGUGGGGGAUAGCUCGGGGAAACUCGAAUUAAUACCGCAUACGACCUACGGGUGAAAGGGGGCGCAAGCCCUUGCUAUUAGAUGCGCCUAAAUCAGAUUAGCUAGUUGGUGGGGUAAAGGACGACCAAGGAGACGAUCUGUAACUGGUCUGAGAGGAUGAUCAGUCACACCGGAACUGAGACACGGUCCGGACUCCUACGGGAGGCAGCAGUGGGGAAUAUUGGACAAUGGGGGCAACCCUGAUCCAGCCAUGCCGCGUGUGUGAAGAAGGCCUUUUGGUUGUAAAGCACUUUAAGCAGGGAGGAGAGGCUAAUGGUUAAUACCCAUUAGAUUAGACGUUACCUGCAGAAUAAGCACCGGCUAACUCUGUGCCAGCCGCCGCCGUAA
rnacentral:rRNA from 1 species